CUCACCUGAUAAACUCAGGCUUUCACUGCUUGUUUUGAUUUUGUUCCUGGCUAAAAGAACAUUCAGUGCCUUUCAAGGACUGGGAAGAGGCCGUGGACACCCCGCCACACACUAAAACCAGUUUUUCCAUAGGGUAUGCUCAUUCAUUUCUGGAAAACUACAAGAUACAGAAAAACAACGAAGAGAAAAGCAAAAAUCCCACCUCUUGGACAUAAUCACUGCUAACAUUUGGCAAAAAAACACCCCAUGUCUUAAAGUAGAUCUCCUAGAAGAACUUGUGCUGUAUCACAGUCUCUCAAAGUCCGUGACCCAGGACAGAGCUGGGGCAGCUGGGUCAAGUCCUCUUAGGAAAUGCUGCUGAGAAUCUACCCUGAGAGUGCCUCAUUUGCAGCUCAAAAUUUCUUUUCUUUUUUUUUUUUUUAAUAUUCAUUUUAUUUAUUUGGCUGCACUGGGUCUUAGUUGUGGCAGCUCAAAAUUUCUAUAUUCCUCUCUUUCUUCAUAAGCUAUUUUCAUAAAGUGGAAGGGACUAUGCAAAGCUCUUUCCAGGCAGUAUCUCAUUUCAUCCUUGAACACGGCUAUGAGGACCAUCUAGCUACUUGCUGUAUCUGUAGAAUCCUAAAGGAUGAGAAGCUAUGUCCCGGGAUAGGCCAUCUCCAGAGAUUUCAAGACCUCCCUCCACUCCCUCUCUCCAGGCAAUCAGGAAGGUUUAAAAUAUAAAAAGCUGAAGAAAAAUACGGUGCAUUCAGACUGCAGGAAGAGGCUUGUGAUAAGCUCUGGCAGCCCAUGCAAUGCUGACAUCCUGAAUCUCACCCUGAGGUUCUUCCUGCAUCCAUCCUAUCAUGCGGUUCAGAGUCACCAGGGUGCCCCAGCCUCCCCAACCCAAGGAAGGGCCUACUGUGUACCUUUAUGAGGAUAAAUUUAAAAGCACGAGGAGAAGGGCUGAUUACAGGAUGGAAAAUAUAGCUCAGGCUAAUUUCCACUGGGGUUCAUGUGGGCAUGACUACAGAUGCUAUGUAGACAGCAAUAAACAUUUAUUGAGUA